GACGAACGCUGGCGGCGUGGAUUAGGCAUGCAAGUCGAACGGUAGAGUGCUUUCGGGCACUUGAGAGUGGCGAACGGGUUAGUAACGCGUAGGUUAUCUACCCUCAAGCGGGGGACAACCCAGGGAAACCUGGGCUAAUACCGCAUGUGGCAGCAAUGCCAAAGUUGGCCUCUGAAUAUGCUGAUGCCUUGGAGCUGAGCCUGCGUCUGAUUAGCUAGUUGGUGGGUAACGGCCUACCGAGGCGAUGAUAAGUAGGCGGCUUUAACGAGUGGCCGCCCACACUGGGACUUGAGAAACGGCCCAGACUCCUACGGGAGGCAG
rnacentral:rRNA from 1 species